GCGGCGAGAGAAGCCGUUGCCGAAGUAGGCCUCGCAGGAGCGGAAUGGGACAUUAGAAUUCUGAGUCCAGGGGAGGUAAGAAGGCAGUAUCGGCCACGGCUUAAGGUAAUUAUUAUUGUUAUUGUUAUUAUUAUUAUUAUUAUUCUGGAGGCGGCGGUGGAGGUGGUCCGUCCGGGAAGGCGGCUGGUGGUCGGACUGCUGGUGGUGGUAGUAGGAGGAGAAGUAGAUAAAGAAAGAGAUAGAGUUGAGAGCGAAUAGGGAGAGAACGAUCUUGAAAAGCUUUGACUGAAUCCUGUUCAUGGUUUUUUUUUUUUUACAGGAAAAAGAGAUAUUUUUUCUUUUUGGAUUUCGUUUCUCUCUCCAAAACCAGGGUCAAUCUCGCGCGCGCUCUCUCUCUCUC
rnacentral:misc_RNA from 1 species